UACGGGAGGCAGCAGUGGGGAAUAUUGCACAAUGGGCGAAAGCCUGAUGCAGCGACGCCGCGUGAGGGAUGACGGCCUUCGGGUUGUAAACCUCUUUCAGCAGGGACGAAGCGAGAGUGACGGUACCUGCAGAAGAAGCACCGGCCAACUACGUGCCAGCAGCCGCGGUAAUACGUAGGGUGCGAGCGUUGUCCGGAAUUACUGGGCGUAAAGAGCUCGUAGGCGGUUUGUCGCGUCGUCUGUGAAAACCAGCAGCUCAACUGCUGGCUUGCAGGCGAUACGGGCAGACUUGAGUACUGCAGGGGAGACUGGAAUUCCUGGUGUAGCGGUGAAAUGCGCAGAUAUCAGGAGGAACACCGGUGGCGAAGGCGGGUCUCUGGGCAGUAACUGACGCUGAGGAGCGAAAGCGUGGGUAGCGAACAGGAUUAGAUACCCUGGUAGUCCACGCCGUAAACGGUGGGCGCUAGGUGUGGGUUUCCUUCCACGGGAUCCGUGCCGUAGCUAACGCAUUAAGCGCCCCGCCUGGGGAGUACGGCCGCAAGGCUAAAACUCAAAGGAAUUGACGGGGGCCCGCACAAGCGGCGGAGCAUGUGGAUUAAUUCGAUGCAACGCGAAGAACCUUACCUGGGUUUGACAUAUACCGGAAAGCCGUAGAGAUACGGCCCCCCUUGUGGUCGGUAUACAGGUGGUGCAUGGCUGUCGUCAGCUCGUGUCGUGAGAUGUUGGGUUAAGUCCCGCAACGAGCGCAACCCUUGUCCUGUGUUGCCAGCGCGUAAUGGCGGGGACUCGCAGGAGACUGCCGGGGUCAACUCGGAGGAAGGUGGGGAUGACGUCAAGUCAUCAUGCCCCUUAUGUCCAGGGCUUCACACAUGCUACAAUGGCCGGUACAGAGGGCUGCGAUACCGUGAGGUGGAGCGAAUCCCUUAAAGCCGGUCUCAGUUCGGAUCGGGGUCUGCAACUCGACCCCGUGAAGUCGGAGUCGCUAGUAAUCGCAGAUCAGCAACGCUGCGGUGAAUACGUUCCCGGGCCUUGUACACACCGCCCGUCACGUCAUGAAAGUCGGUAACACCCGAAGCCGGUGGCCUA
rnacentral:rRNA from 1 species